rnacentral:misc_RNA from 1 species
UAAUAUAGCAGCUUUUACUUUUGAAAGUGAAGAAUAGCCAGAGAAGAGGAGGAGAGGAGAAUUGAGUGAAAAGGACAAGCAGCACAUAAAGGGUAGAAGAGAUCUUAGUGGGAUAGUUUGCCUGCCAGAGGACAAGCACUGUGAUGACCACCCCCCACCUUUCUACAUUGGCAAGGAACCAAGAAAGACACAAAGAAAAUAGCAAGAUGAUGAGUUCUUAAGCUUUUGAAGGUCAAACCAA